rnacentral:rRNA from 1 species
CCCAGCUUGCUGGGUGGAUUAGUGGCGAACGGGUGAGUAACACGUGAGUAACCUGCCCUUAACUCUGGGAUAAGCCUGGGAAACUGGGUCUAAUACCGGAUAGGAGCGUCCACCGCAUGGUGGGUGUUGGAAAGAUUUAUCGGUUUUGGAUGGACUCGCGGCCUAUCAGCUUGUUGGUGAGGUAAUGGCUCACCAAGGCGACGACGGGUAGCCGGCCUGAGAGGGUGACCGGCCACACUGGGACUGAGACACGGCCCAGACUCCUACGGGAGGCAGCAGUGGGGAAUAUUGCACAAUGGGCGCAAGCCUGAUGCAGCGACGCCGCGUGAGGGAUGACGGCCUUCGGGUUGUAAACCUCUUUCAGUAGGGAAGAAGCGAAAGUGACGGUACCUGCAGAAGAAGCACCGGCUAACUACGUGCCAGCAGCCGCGGUAAUACGUAGGGUGCGAGCGUUAUCCGGAAUUAUUGGGCGUAAAGAGCUCGUAGGCGGUUUGUCGCGUCUGUCGUGAAAGUCCGGGGCUUAACCCCGGAUCUGCGGUGGGUACGGGCAGACUAGAGUGCAGUAGGGGAGACUGGAAUUCCUGGUGUAGCGGUGGAAUGCGCAGAUAUCAGGAGGAACACCGAUGGCGAAGGCAGGUCUCUGGGCUGUAACUGACGCUGAGGAGCGAAAGCAUGGGGAGCGAACAGGAUUAGAUACCCUGGUAGUCCAUGCCGUAAACGUUGGGCACU